rnacentral:lncRNA from 1 species
CAUGAAUUAAACCAUUUCUGUGUUGUCUGUGUUCUGGCCAUGUUCCAGCCGUGUUCUUCUAAUAUUAUGUCUGCAUGCUGGUUUUCCUACUAACAUAAGGCUUCUUGAAUUCUCCUUAGGGUAAGCACCAGUUAUUUUCUUCAUGCAUGUUAUUUAAAGUUGAAAAAAAUUAAAUUGCUUCCCCUGCUGAGAAAAAGGCAGGAGGACUUAAAGUAAGUCGAAGUAAGUUUGUAGUGGCGAGUGUCUUUACCAAGAAUGAGUGUUUAAUUUUCAUUACUGACAUAAUUGUCUCUGUUAGUGCCAUCUGCUUCACUGUCCAGAACACCUGCUGACACCAAAAGGGAACUGCAUGAGCCACUUGUAGACGCCCUCGCCAUGCCCACCGUGGAGAGACCUGUGCCCCUUCCCUCUGAGCUCUAGUUUUUGGUGGAAGAGUUUGCAAGUCCUGAGCAAACUGAGAGGGCUGUCUCAGCACCAGGUGUGUUUGUGUGAUUGCAGGUGGUCCCGGGGAGCUGAUUGGUUGCUGCCUGGAAGCCAGGAGUUUAAGGGCCGGCUCCUCCCAGUUCUGGUAGGCUCUCCUCUGUUGUCCCAGACUGUCAGCAUGUGUGAUUGUGUAUAAGCUAUGUUUUUAAAUAAAACCAUUUAAAAAUGCUUUGCUG